rnacentral:rRNA from 1 species
UACAGAGGGGGCAAGCGUUGUUCGGAAUUACUGGGCGUAAAGGGCGCGUAGGCGGCCCUCUAAGUCAGACGUGAAAUCCCCGGGCUCAACCUGGGAAUUGCGUUGGAGACUGCAAGGCUAGAAUCUGGCAGAGGGGGGUAGAAUUCCACGUGUAGCAGUGAAAUGCGUAGAGAUGUGGAGGAACACCGAUGGCGAAGGCAGCCCCCUGGGUCAAGAUUGACGCUCAUGCACGAAAGCGUGGGGAGCAAACAGG